UAUAAGAUAUAGAUUGACUCAGUUAAUAUGAGAGUUGAGCAUAAUUUUUGUAAUCAUGGUCUAUUGAUUUCCUUUUUAUCCAACAACUUCGCUUGCUUAGUUACUCCCUGGGAUACAUAUGUGAAGAUUGAAACUGGUGAAAGUCCAAAUGAUAGGAACGACAGAGCAAUCCGGGUGGCGGCACAAUGGUAUCAGAAUCACCUUGGCGCUGCAGUACGGGUAUUGCUUAUUACAAAUGAUACAGAAAACAAAAGGAAGGCUAUUGAGGGUGGCAGAGACAGCAUAAGCCCGUGUCUGAAAUUACUUCUGGUAUGCAUCGUGGAAUUUACCACCAAGGGAAACUUCGGGUUAAUCGUUACAAUCCUUUUGAAGCAUAUGCUGGGAGUGAAAGUAUUGGAGAUGAAAUUAUUAUUUAUGGACCUACAAACAUGAACAGAGCUUUUGAUGGUGAUAUUGUGGCUGUGGAACUUUUGCCUCAAGAUUGCUGGCAAGAAGAGAAAUCUCUCGCAAUAGCAAAUGAUGGUUUGUGAGGAUGAUGAUUUUCACUUAGCUCCAAGCAGUGCUGAUGAUGCUCCUAGAGUCUCAAAUCCAUGGCAGAUUUCAACUGGGAACAAGAGUGCCGUGCCAACUCGCCCAUCAGGUCGUGUUAUUGGCAUUAUAAAGCGGAACUGGCACUCGUAAGCUCUAGUAACUGAACUAAUUUCUUUUUCUUCAUGACACAACUUGUCCUCCUGCAUUCUCAGGCACUGAUUAAUGCUUCUCAUCUAUAAACCAUUUGAUAAAGUUUAUCUAUUCAUCCUGAUAUGGAAAUUUCUUGCUGGUUGUUGAGUUAAAGCAUGAUUUAAACUGCAUGAGAGGAUCACAGCUUUGUCUUGGGACCUUAUAGACAGAAUUUCAUGAAAAGCAUGCUCUGAAAAUGUUGAGCUUGUCUGUUGUUGUUUAAGACAUGCUGGGUAUUUAUGCAGUAAACCAUUAAUUUUACUCGGGGAAUAGGAUGCACUCAACCAAACAGUCCCAUUGGUAAAGGAGAAUGACCAAAAGUAGGACCAAAGGACAAGAAUUACCUUAAUGAAUGUAUGCACUUCUGUUGAAUCCUAUAGACUUUUCAUCUGUGUUGAUAAUGCCAACUAUAUUUCAUUGCUGCACACAUGACGUGCCCAUGCUUACUUUCAAAUUAACUGUGGAUUAUAUGAGAUAUAUAUAUUCAUAAAGGCUUGACUCAAGAAAAGAGCCUCUAGAAGGGAAAGUCCAUGAAGCUAGAAACAUGAUAAGCUUUACAAAAAGUACAGCAAGGCUACUGAUGAGACAUGGAUGAGAAUAUAUUGAAGAAUUAAAUUCUAUUAAAAUAAGUAAAUAGAGUGAAGAACAUGAGAUUGAGGUGGGGGGGGGGGUGAGAAAGUGUAGAAAAUUGAAAAUGCGCUUUUGCUGGUCAAAUCUCCAGACUUAAUCUGAGCAUGAUGAUGUGUGCAUUUUCCUGUGAGCUAUGUCUGUUCAGAACUGCUUUCCUUAUCCAAAUGCACAUUAGAAGGACACAAUUUUCUGUAAGAAACCUUAUAGAGGUAAAUAUGUACCUGUAGGCAUUAAGGAAAACUGCCUGUCUUCUACUCUUGAACCCGUGAAACUCAUUGCAAACAAGCAGAAGGCUGGAAUGAGUGUAGGCAAUACAUGAUUGUUCUCUUUAUAGUUUAUUUGCAAGCUUUAUCUUAUGUGCAGUUAUUGUGGAUCUUUGGAGCCAAUGCCUAUGCCUGCUGGUGAUGGUGGUAUUGCACUUGUCUCAAAAGAUGGGAGAAUUCCUAAGAUUCGUAUACAAACCCGACAAUUUAUUGGACAAACGAAUCAUAUGAUUAAAUUUUGUUUAUCCCUCCUUUUCUGACCUUAGUUAUAAAUUUAUCAUGGGAAAAGGAGGGAUAAUAUUAUCCCUCCAAAAAUGGUGUGAUAAUAUUAUCCCUCAUUUGUAGUGUAAAUGAGGAAUGAGUAAGGGUCAAGUAGAAAAUGUGGGAAAAGAAAUGAAAGAUUUAAAGGGUGAAAUUUUGUUUAUCCUUCCUUUUCACAUGAUAAAUUUACAACCUAAGAGAACGCACCGUAAGAAGAUAUGCAGGUAUGAGUAGAAAAUUGUUACUUUCAUCACUUUGUGAUUUGAAAUUAGCUCUGUGAUUUUAAAACUCAAUAUUCUUACAGAUGCGAUUGUACACCGAUUGCUUGCUGCAUCCUUGGGGAUAUGCAGGCUCCCAGAUAUAUUCCAAGACAGACCACGGCUUACUGGCAUUGCUGAUAGUAAGUAAUACCAACAUCGGGAGAUUUUAUUUACACGAAUGAACUGGUGGAUAUGUGCAAUAAUUUAUUGUUCUUGUUUUGUUUGAUAAUCUUGGAAUACUAUCAACUUCAAGUAGUACAUCAUUGUGCUACAUAUUCAUUUUUUCUUGUUAAUUGAGUAAUCUCCAUAUGUACUUA